UAGGAAAGGUUGUGAGGGAUAUGGGUCAAUUGCAGGCAAAUGGGACUAGAUUAAUUUAGGAUAUCUGGUAGGCAUGAACGAGUUGAAACUUAUGGUCUGUUUCCUUACUAUCCAUCUCUUUGACUCUAUGACUCUGCAGCCCUCCUCACAACACAAAUCUUCCACUGCUGCAACAUUCUGAUAUUUUUUAUUCAGAACUAUCUCCAGCUUGAUGACAUCCUUAUUAUAAGAGGGCGAACAAAACGGGGCACAGUUCUCCAGAAGAGGACUUGCCAACGUCCUGUAGACCUUUAACACGUCUUCCCAACUCCCAUACUCAAAGGCGUGAGCAAUGAUGGCAAAAGUACUAAACGUCUUCUGAACCACGCUGUCAAAUCAUGUGAUGCAAACUUCAAAGGAUUAUGUAAAUGACCCUUAGUUCUCUCUGUACUACAACACUACAGGAGUCCCUAUCUUUAAUUGUUUUCGUCCUGUCCUUGUUUGUUUUCCCACAAUGCAAAACCGCACAUCUCUCGAAACUAAACUCCUCCUUUCACUCGUCAAUCAAUUGAUCUGAUCAAACAAGAUCUCUUUCUAAUCUUAGAUAUCCUUCUUCACUGUCCAAUACACUAUCAAAUUCGAUGUUAUUCGCAAACUUACCAAUAUUUUGAUCUAAAUUAUUGAUAUAAAUGACAAAAAAAUGCAGACCCAGCACCACUCCUGUGGAACACCACUUGCAACAGACCUCCAGUCCAGAAAACAAUCCUCCACGACGACCCUUUGUCUCCUGCCAUCAGGGAAUUUUGUAUCCAAUUGGCAAGCUCACCCUGAAUCCCACAUGAAUCGACUUUGAUAAACAGACUACUAUGUGGAACCUUGUCAAAGGCUUUCCUAAAGUCCAAGUAAACAAUGUCUACCAUUCUGAUAAUCAUCAAUUCUAAUUUUUCUUUUGGUUACAUCCUUGCAAAAAAGCCUUGCUGUAUCACUCCUUCCCUUUCAAAAUGGAUGUAAAUUCUAUCCCUCAGAAAUCCCAUUGAACAAGUUUUCUACCACUGAUGUCAGGCUCACGGUUCGAUAGAUCACUGACUUUUGCUUACAAUCUUGUUAAAUAAUAGCACCAGGUUAGCCGCUGUACAGUCUAUGGGCACCUCACCUGUGGCUAUCAAUGAUAAAAGAGGGGACCAGCAACCUCUUCCCCAAUUUCCAUUAGAGUUCUGUGGAGAACCUAAUCAAGUCCCGGUUACUUAUCUCUCUUGUUGUGCUUUAAGACCUCCAACACCUCAAAUCUUCUCAAGACAUUAUUAUUUAUUUCCCAAAGUUCCCUUGCUUCCAUGUCAUUGUCCAGAGCAAAUACGGACACAAAAUAUUCGUUCAGUAUCUCACACAUCUCUUGUGGUUCUACGUUGAUAUUUAAGGGCCCAUAGUCCCUCUCUAGUUAUUCUUUUUUUGCCCUUAAUAUAAUUAUAGAAUCACUUUAGACUCACCUUAACACUUUCAGCGAAAGAUAUCUCAUGUCCCUUUUGUGCCAGCCCGAGAUCCCUCUUUAGUAUACUUCUACAGUCCUUAUGCUGUUCUAGGGAUACACUCGAUCCCAGCUGUCUAUAUCUGGUAUAUGCCUUCUUCUUUUUCUUGAGCAGAGCCUGAAUUUUUCCAAUCAUCCAACAUUCACUACACCUACCAGUUUUUCCCCUGACACAAACAGGAACAUACCAUAUCUGAGCUCUCAUUAUGUCAUUCUUAAAGUUCUCUCUCUUCUGAAUAUUUUCUUUCCUUGUGAACAGUUUCCCGGAAUCAACUUUUCAAAAUUCCUGUCUAAUACCUUCAAAAUUAGUUUCCAAUUUAGAGCUUUAACUUUGUGAUCCAUUCUAUCCUUUCCUGUAACUAUUUUAAACCUAAUAGAAUUGUGAUCACUUCUCUCAAAGUGCUCUCCCAACGAAACACAGUCACUUGCCCUGCCUUAUUUCCCAACAGAAGGUCAAGUAAUGCUCCUUCUCAAGGAGGUACAUCCGCAUAUUGAAGAAGCAUGUUUUUUUUGUACACAAAUAAGAAAUUCUUCCACGUCCAAGCCCUUUGCAUUAUGACAUUCCCAUUCUAUGUUUGGACAUUUAAAAUUCCCUGCCAUUGUCCAAUUUCUCUCACAAGUGUCUGAGAUCCCGUCACAUGUUUGUUUAUCAAUUUCCCACUGAUUAUUGGGAGGCCUACAGUGCAGUACCAACAAGGUGUUGAUCACUUUCUUAUUUUGAAGUUCCACCUCCAUAACUUCACCGUAUGGUCGCCCAGGAGUAUCUGCCCUAUGUGUAGCCGUAAUGUUCAAACGAACUAUAAACACCUAUCCCCCUCUUCUCUUGCUUCCCCUUCUAUCUUUCGUAUUGCAUCCAUACACUGGAACAUUAAGCGCCCAGUCCUGUCUAUUCCAGAGACACGUAUUUUGUAAUAGCUACGAUAUUUCAGUCCCAUGUUCCCAACCUUGUAGUAACUUCAUCUGCCUUACCUGUCAUGCCUCUUGCAUUGAAGGAAAUGCACUUCAAUUUACCAGUAAUACCUCGUUCCCUGCUAAGCUCUUGUCUACUCUUGUCGAUUAGACUUACUCGUCUUACCUUCUGUGCCAGCCUCAGCAGUUUCUAUUUUCUCCCUAUCUCUUUGGUGCCUCCCAGCACCACGUCCCUCGCAAUUCUCCUUACCAGUUUAAAAUCUCCCAAGGAGCAGUACCAAUUUCCCCUGCAAGAAUAUUGGUCCCCUUCCAAUUCAGUUAGAUCCUCUCCCUCUUGUAAGGGUCAUUUCUACCACUGAAGAGAUCGCAAUGAUCCAAAAAUGUGAAUUCUGCCCUGUGCACGACCUCCUCAGCCAUGUAUGCAUCUCCUCUGUCCUCAUAUUCGGACUCUCAAUAUUCCAUUAUAUUUGAAAUAAAGCCCAAAAUUAAGUCUGACUUCCUCAUUAACAGCUGAAUUUAAAAACUACCUUUUUGUGCUUCAAGGAUGAGGACUCCCAAAUUUGUUUUGUAGAAUUCUCAUUUAAUUUUUAUUUGAAUAAUAUUUAGCAGCUCUAUUUUUCCUACCAAAGUGUAUAUCCUCACAUUUUCCAUGUUUUUACAUGCACUUCAUCCACUUUGCAUUAAUAUCCCAAGUUUUUGCUCACACUCUUGUCCUAUACAUAUCUCUCUGCAAACUCUUUGUGUCAUUCUCACCACUUGCCUUCUCUCCUAUUUUUGUGUAGUUCAUAAACUUGACUACAGUACAUUCACAUUUCUCAUCAAAGUCAUUAAUAUACAUUGCAAAUAUUUGUGCACCCAGCACGAAUUCAUGUGAUACUCUAUUUGUUCCAGGUUGACGUCCGGUGAAAUAAAACUCUGAGUCUAACAAUCGUUCUACUGUGAUUUCGACAAUCCUCUCACUGCGCCAAUAUGCUGCCUCCAAAGCCUUGGGCUCUUGCCUUAUUAAGUAAUAAUAUGCAUGGUACCUCAUUGAAUGCCAUCGGAAAAUCUAAACGUAUGACAAUAACUGCUUCCCUCCGUUUUUUUUUUACAUGCUCAAGGAAUUCUAAUAUAUUUAUCAGAACACAAUACCAGAUCCAAUAUAUCAAGUUGCCUGGCUGGAUCGAAAACAUAUUCUUCGAGAAGACUGUCCCAAAUGCACUCUGUGAAUUCUUCUUCGUGACUACCUUUGCCAAUCUGACGCUGUCAAUUGAUGAGAAGAUUAAAUUUGACGAUGACUAUU